UACGUAGGGAGCAAGCGUUGUCCGGAAUCAUUGGGCGUAAAGCGCGCGUAGGUGGCCUCAUAAGUCCGCUGUGAAAGUCAAAGGCUCAACCUUUGAAAGCCGGUGGAUACUGUGAGGCUAGAGUGCGGGAGAGGUGAGUGGAAUUCCCAGUGUAGAGGUGAAAUUCGUAGAUAUUGGGAAGAACACCAGUGGCGAAGGCGGCUCACUGGCCCGUAACUGACGCUGAGGUGCGAAAGCGUGGGGAGCAAACAGG
rnacentral:rRNA from 1 species